CGGCUAAACGUGAUGGAGAAAUGAAAAGAACAGAGAAGCCGAAACUGGAGGCGACUGGAAGCUCCGGCUAGGGGUUUCACUUUCACGUGGUAAGACAAAGGGAAAACAAAGGAACUGAACUGGAUUAAGUAUCAAUCAGAUUAUCUAAGGGAGUGGAGAAAGAGAAGGAAAAGAUAAUCUUGAUUAGUUGCUAGAAAUUUGUUAUUGGACUAGAGACAGUCUAAGGAAGCCAAUACAACUUGGUUUUCUAUCUGAUUACAUACCAGAUGAUGAUGUUGAACUUGAAGAAGCGUCACUUGGUCCUAUCAACAAUAAUGCCACCACCACAAGUGUUGCUGACAUGGAUUAGAAGAUCAAGAUUCAAGACUUUGUAUUUGUCAUUUCCACCACUGUCCAGUCAUUGCUACUGCAUCACUAGCUGCACUGCUAGUUGUUCUUUUUUCAGAUUUUCUCAUUUUCAAGAC